CGUGCCGCGGCUCGGACGGCGGCGGGAGCAGCCGCCGUCACCCGGGGUGGUGCUGCUGCCCUGUCGCAGCCUGGCCCGCGUCGUUUGAAAAAGCUGUUGUUCUGGUAGAGUUUGCCACGAAGCGGGGUGAAUCGUCGUUUUCCACGCCUGGAGGACGGAGUAAUUCGCUGAGAGGUUUCCGCGAUGUGCAAUCCAAACUUUGGCAAGAGGAGAUUGGAAUGGUGGUAAUCGACUUUUGCCAAAGGAAAAAGUUUGUCAGACGAGCGAGUCUUCUUCCUCAUCAUGAAAACCUUCUGUUAUAUUAGGAAAAGCAUUUGUAAGGAAAUGCAAGAAAUAGACGCGUCAUUACUGAGGGAAAAUCACUGAGGGAUGGUACCGCCGUGGAAAUGAUCAGUCAGGCUUCGGCUUGUGGUAGCAUUGCUUCACAGUGGAGAAGGGAUUCAUGGCUUCAGACGAAGCUUUAAGUCGAUCCCGCUGUCCGUGCUGUGCCUCGCUCACACUGUUCCUCAAAUCCGCCAUUGGGAGUUUUUGCCAUCUCCAGCCACCAUGUAUAAGCAAUGCAGUCUUUUUAUUAAACGUGGGUAUCUAUUUCAACGGUAACUCAUCUGUUUCUGAAGCACCAGGAGGCAAAAUUCAAACCCUGUGAAGUCCGUUUGGGCUUUGAUUAAUGAACUUGAGGCACCCUACGUUUCGGAGAACAGUUUGAGCAGUCUCGUGUCAGGUAGCAUCCCAGCAGACAGCAGCUGAAACCUUCACGCUAGUCAUUCCAAGAUGGUCUUGGUGUAUAUCCAGAAGUGCUCUUAUCUUGAUGAGCUUAGCUACAUCCUGAGCUCUGCUGCUUUUUCACGCAGACAGGAAAAAGGUUGAACUCCACCCAGCCACGUCGCUGUGUUCAGCCCACGCACAACGCACUUGGGUAGAACUGCACAGCUCACGGGUAACAAAGUGCCAAGAACACAGCCCUCAGCUCCUUUCUGCACAACUGCCUGCUGACAGCAGCACUUGCCCAAGAAGGAACGAACUUCAUGAAUUAACAUCCCACACCUCCUAGGAGAGGUGGACCUCUGGUUCAAAAUAAGAGCAUCUUCUAUUCUUGUAGUGCCACUGGUUACAAGUGUCGAAACAGGAGGAACGUUUUGUCCUAAAUGCAGGUUAAUGAUUUUGUAUCCUAAUCUUAAGAUCAGGAAAAAAAAAAAAAAAACAGUGUUGCACGCUGGUAUGAAUGUGUAUCUUCUUGUUUGAAGCUGUCAUACUUACAACUUGUUCCUAGCUGGAAGAUGCUCAUUUGUACAUUGUUACUUUUAACUUACUAUACAGUUCAUAAAAUAACCAAGUAGAAUUGUCAAGCAAAUACACCCAAGCUUUGAUCAGUCUGAUAGCCAGUCUUGUCUGAAACGUCUGUUACAGGUAAGUUCCCAGCACAGAGCAGGUACCUACACGUUACCCUGCAGAAGAUGCCUCCAGGAGGAUACCUGCAGAGGAGCCCUUUCAGCCAGUGACUGGCCAUUAUGCAUGAGAAUUGCUGAUCAAGGUUGAGAGCUUAACAACAGACUGCUGCAGUUGUCAAUGGAACAGGGGAAAUGGGAACUCACAUUCGAGUUUCAUUGUUUAAAUCCUAGAAUCAUAGCAUUGCUCAGUUUGGAAAAGACCUUCAAGAUCAUCGAGUCCAACUGCAAAUGAAGCAUUCACAUUAAAAAAAUGGAGAUUUUUAAGCAGUGAGUACUUUUCACACAAUCCAUAACUGGCUUGUGGAAUUGGCUACCAGAAGAAAUCACCAUGACAAGAAUUAAGUAAGCUUCAAAACUUAGAUUCCUGGUUGCACAGUGAUCCAACUUCGCAUGGAGUCAUGAAAGAAUUCCAGAAUUAUUUAGCUUGUGAUUACAGUGUAUUCCUGGAAAGCAUGCGCACGUGGUUCAGAUUCAAGCAGGGAUGCAUGAUGAUUGGAAUCCAGGUUUCCCAUUUCAGUGCUGCACCUUCUUAUGACAAUACUUUCUGGCAGAAGAGUUCAGUGGUAUACAAAGUAAACACUCUUUGGAAGAAAAAAAAUAUAUGUAGCGGGAAACAACUGAGCAGAAAAGCUUCAGUAUACUGCAGGGGACAAGAAGCAGACAUUGAAGACAUUCUGAAUAUCCAGAUCAUUGUGGUCAGUAAUCCUCUUUCACACAAGAAAUAAGGAAAAAAAGCAUAACUGCGUUGAAGACAAAGCUUGGAUAGUUUCUGAGUAGGACUUGGGCAUGUGUCCUGUUGGGAACCUACCUCCAUUCUCCACGAAGUUCCACUGUUUUUACUUCCUCCUCGUGAAUUUCUAGUAGGUACAGCAUGAUUUUCAACUUAAAAAUGAUCUGUUUUACAUAGACUUCUUCAUAAAAGACAUAAUUCUGUAUAAAUAGUCUUCCCUUUUUACUUUUUGUUCCCUUUUUACUUACUGUUACCUAUCUAGCUUGGAAAGAAAAAAAGCAUUCUUCUCACAGUACUUACCAAACAUCACAAAAAGAAAUUAACCUUCUCAAACACAUUAGGAAGCAUGAAAGACUUGCUUACACUAUUAUAAACUGAAUUUGCAUCUUCUUACCACAUUCAGUUUUCAUCCAGUCCAGUGAUUUUUUCCCUGCACAGUCUUCCUACAGAAGGAACAUAAAGUUAAUUUAAGUCAUGUUCUCAUCCUUGAUUAACCUGAUUAAUAGAAAACACAUAUAUGCAAUGCAGUGAGAUGCAUACUUCCAUAAAUAAUUUAGUUGAGAUAUAUAUUUUAAGAGUUAAGAGGGUGAAGAGGAAGGCUACAAAAAUGAUCAGAGGGUUGGAGCACCUCUCCUGUGAAGGCUGGCUGAAGGAGCUGGGCUUGUUCAAUCUGAAGAAGAGAAGGCUGCAGGGAGACCUCAUUGUGGCCUUCCAGUAUUUAAAUUGAGAUUAUAAACAGGAGGGAAAUAAACUUCUUACACUGGUAGAUAGUGAUAUGACAAAGGGGAGUUAUUUUAAACUAACGGAGGGAAGAUUUAGAUUAGAUGUCGGGGAAUUUUUUCACUGAGAGAGUGGUGAAGUGCUGGAACAGGUUGCCCAGAGAGGGCCCGAGAAGGAUGCCCCAUCCCUGGAAAUGUUUGAGGCCAGGUUGGAUGGGCCCCUGGGCAACCUGAUAUAGUACUUGAUCUAGCAGCUGGCAACACUGCCUGAGGCAGUGUUGAGGGAGGUUGAAACCUGAUGAUCCUUGAGGUCCCUUCCAACCCAAGCCGGUCUAUGAUUCUAUGAUUUAUAGUGUAGACUAAGAAAUGGAGGAAAAUACAUCUGAGUAAGUAAUAUGAAGCAGAAUGUAGACCUAGUCCAGCUUGUUGAACCACAAGGUGGUUAUGUCCUGUACCAUGUAGUGUAUGUAAAAACUAUCAUACACAAGAAUAUAAUGAGGUUUGCAAUCAGUAUAAAGCAUUAACAUCUGUCUCUUUCUUCUGUGGCUGAUAGCAAAAGAUACAGACAAGAGAAGAGAGAGGAGAGUAAAAAUAAUUAUUCUGAACUGUUUCAAUGAAAAAAAUAUAUUCCUAAUCUUAUCCCUAAACAUGACUGUGAGAGAAAGGUAGCAGAGAAAAUCAGAUAUGGAAAAAAAAAUGUUUUUCUUUGUGUGCAUAGAUAUUAUGUGUGUGUACAUGCACAUGCAAUCCUAUGGAUAUAGAAUCAUAGAACGGUUUGGGUUGGAAGGGACCUUUAAGAUCAUCUAGUUCCAACUCCCCUGCUUUAGGCAGGGGACACUUUCCUCUAGAUCAGGUGUAUAUAUCAGAUAUAGUGUGGGAAGACUGUGGGAAGCAGGCAAAGUAGCUUGGAGAAAUAUGAAAUUGAGAGAAACGUAGUUGGAAGGUAUUUUGAGGAAGGAAAAUGUAAAUGAGAGAGAUUUAUGAGAGAAAAAAUUUGGAAAAGAGAUAUUUGAAUACAGUAGCUUAAAAUUGAUGCAAGAAAGACAGACAGCAAGAAGCAUAACAGAAAAGGGUAGGAAGAGGUAGAAGUCAAGGAACGGUGAACAAGCAGUAGAAUGUAUGAAGCCAAGUUUCCUGUGGUUUUAUGACUUGGAAUAAGACUAUGUUGUGUGCUUAAUAUUUUCUCUGGAUUUGCAGUAAAAGGAAAUAUAUAGUAUAAACAUAAGCAUACAGGCCCUUGGUCUAAUCAGGGCAAAUCCAUAAAUAAUAAGAUUAUUUCUACUGAACAGGAAAAUACAGCUUUCAUGAGCUUAUUCAUGAAGUGUAUGCAUCCUUAAGUACAUCAAGUUGUAUAUUGCAGGAUAAUAGCAAACUUCUAAAUUUUGUUAGGGAAAUUCUGAUUUCAUUAGCAAAUUUGCAAGAUGUUACUCAACAUCAAGCAACAAAUAGAAGCACUUCAAGAUGCCAAGGGAAAAACCAUGAAAACAAAACAACAACAACAACAACCAAAUUCCAGAAACAAUGCUUUCAAAAAUCAAAAGGACAAGAAUUUGUAGAAAUCCAGUAUAUGAACUAGCUAAAUACAAUUAUCCCAAUCAGCAUAAAAAUGCUGUUUCAUAUAAAGAAGGACUACAAAUGAUACAAAUGACUACGUGAUGACAUGAAAGAAAAAUGAGAGUGCAUUGCCUAAUUAAUACCAGUAACGGGUAACGGAUAAGCUAGUCUACAUGUGGCUAAGAGAGAACAAGCGUUAACAGAAUUUUCUCUUUUGGAAGGAAUUUUAGCAGUAUCCUUUAUGUAUCCAGUACAUGUCCAAAUAAAUGCGCUGAAAUGCAUCUCUGCCCUCAGUGGGAGACUGCUUGGCUCCAUUCAGCUUGUUGUAACACUGAGACCUUGAGCACUCUCAAAAUUGGCUGAAAUUUUCAAGAAGGUUCCAAAGAAAUUGCAAGGCUCAGAAUGACAGAAAGUACAACUGAGUAAAUCUUGCUUCCUGAAGAAACGAGGCUAGAACAAUAAAAAAGGAAAAAGAGAUGAAAUUAAUUCAAGUAGACAGUUGAUUGCCACUACAUUAAAGCUAAACACAGUUUGCAUUUGCACUGCAAUUUAGAUUGGCUUCUCGGAUAGUAGUACAUGGCAUGUCUAAUUUGGACUAGGAGGCCAAAAUAAAGGACACUUCUGUUAAAAUAAAGACAAUGUCAGUGAACAAAAGGUACAAAUUGGGAGGUACAAAGCAAAACACAAACCUGGACAAAAGAGAUUGUGAAACAAAUGUGACAGGAAGGAUUGUCACAAGGCUGUUUCUAGUUCAGUGUUCAAAAUCUAUUAAUGCAUAAGAAAGAUAUACACUAAAAAAUCAGGCAGCAGAAGAUUUAGAAGUGAUGACAGAAGUAUUAUUCAGCAAUAAGAGAAGCAGGCAGUUACGUCAAGCAACAUAAUUUCAGCAGUCUCUGCUCAUGUUGGAAACAGACAGCAAUGACAAAUAGUCUCAAGGAAUCAAACCUCAAACACAAAGUGAAUCCUUAUAAUGAGCAGGGCUCACCUGCUCUGAUGCCAACAUACUGUGUCUCUCUCUCUAGCUUUUUGUCAGUAUCUGUGUAGCUUCCAGGCUAAUGAAAUUUAACUGAAAUGAGACUGGCAGGGAAUAUUUUGGCAGAGGAUAUUUUAUAAGAGGAUAUUUUGGCCAGGAAGGAGGACAUAAUGACUGGUGCUCAAAGUCUUCUUAUCUCACAGCUUUUCCAAUUUUUUAAAAAAUGUGUUAAAGAAAAGGUUUUGUAUUUUAUUCACUCAGAACACUUUUCUAAUACUUCCUCACCAAUAAAUUAGGAUGUGAUGUUUAACUGGCCACUCAAAAUAAAUUGUCCACCAGCAUACCAGCUGCCUCCCAGAUAAAUUAACUCUGUCAUUCGCUUCACUUUUAAUACAUCUUCUUGAACUCAUUGCAUGGUUAAUAUAUCAUACUGAACUAAGCAAUGUAGAUAUUGGAGAAUAGUUCUCCAAACUGAAUGUAUUUGAUCUUAUCACUAGUCAGGUAAGUAUGUUGUAUCUCUCCAUUUUUGUGGUAAAGAAUAUAUAGCAGAGAUGAGGUCUCGGGCAGCUUGUGUUAUCAGUUAGCUAUGAGCGAAGAAACAAGCAAAAGUCCAUAGAGGGCUAUAGUAGCUCUGAGCCAUUACACAGCAAAAGAGUAGUUAGAUUCCAUUCAUUUAACACUGAUGUUAACUCAUCCUGUAUAUAAGACACAAAUGUUGCAAUAAAGUAAACACACUAUUUAUAUUUAAAGAAGGCGGCAAAAGAGAAGCUCAAGAUUUAAAAAAACCUGUCUGUUUACCCCCAGUUAUUCCAAAUACUGAAGCAAGUAAUGGAAGACAGUAUUAUUAAGCAUUUAGAAGAUAGGAGGAAUAUGUGAAAGACAACAUGUACCUGCCAAGUACAAGUUGUGACAAGUUAUCUAAUUUCCUUCUUAAUGAUUAAUAGGACUUGAGAAAAGAGAAGCAGAAUCUAACAAGAUUUCAGGAAGGCUUUUCAUGUUUUCUUAUGUGGUAUCCUCAUUUAUAUGCAAACUACAGUGACUGGAAAAGAAGUAUAUCAAUGAUUUACUGUCAAAGUAGAGAACUAUUUUAAGAUUCUAUCCUGGUCCAAUGCCAUUAAAUAUUUUAACUCAAAA